UUAUAAUUAAUGGAUUGCUACUAUAAAUUUAUAAAAAAAAACAACACAUUUUUAUUCAUUCAUUGCGCAUAUAUAUCAUAUAGAGAGCUCUCAGAGUUCAUCAAACGAUAAGGAAAAAGUACAGUUGGGUUUGGCAUGACAGAAGAAGAAGAAGAAGAAGAAGAAGAAGAAGCAAAUUAAUUGAAGGUUGAUAGAUAGGAUUAGGAGGUGUACGUAGUUGAUCAUACUGAGAUGGGUGCUGAAAGGCCAUAGUCAAGGCUCCACAGCUCAAACCCUCCAUUCACAAAGUCAUAGUAUCCUCCGUACAGCUUCAGUGUUUUGCUGCAGAGUCCAUCCCUCACAAAUGGAUAUGUCAGCAGAUUUGCCAGCGACACAUUCACCGCCUCCUGCAAUUCCAUUUUAAUUUUUUAAUUCACAUUCAGAAAUCUGUGUAACUAGUUAUAAUAAUAUCAAUACUAAGAAUUGAAAGCAAACCUUUUCACAGGUGGUGCAUUGGUCUCCAAAUCCAGCACUCCCAUUCUCAGCCAACACCUUCUUCUU
rnacentral:lncRNA from 1 species